rnacentral:lncRNA from 1 species
CCUUAAGUUGAGAUUUGCUACCUCCACCACCCUUUAGUAAACUCUCCAUCACCUUCCCAUUGUUUUUUUUGCUAAAAAGAUCACCGCCAAGACCACUAAGUGCACUAUCUUCUCAUUUUCUUUUUCCCCAUCUUCCUCUAUGCACAUGAUUAGAGCACCACUACUCAAAGAGGCAAUGGUUGUGUGCCACAAGGCUAUACCCCCCC